rnacentral:lncRNA from 1 species
GCUGGGCGUGCUGGAGUGUGCCUGUAGUCCCAGCCACUCAGGAGGCUGAGGCAGGAGGAUCACUUGAGCCCGGGAGUUCUGGGGCUGUAGUGCACUAUGCUAAUCUGGUGUCCACACUAAGUUCGGCAUCAAUAUGUUGACCUUCUGGGAGUGGGAGACCACCAGGUUGCCUAAGGAGAGGUGAACCAGCCCAGGUUGGAAAUGGAGCAGGUCAAAAACUCCCAUGCUGAUCAGCAGUGGGAUCACACUGCAUGCACUCCAGCCCGGGCAACAUAGCGAGACCCUGUCU